GAUUAAAAUGAGGUUGAUUUGCCAGCCAAGGGUCCAUCCCAUAAAGAUACGGUGAAUUUGAGCAUUCCACUCUCCUAGUCCUCCCUUGUCCACUCCCUCACUCGGCCACUCAGUCCUCCUCACCCAAGGUCCCGAGUCCCAGCACAAAAUUGUUUUUGGUAUAUCCAUCCCCAACUAAAAAAUUACUCAAAACGAAAAAGCGGCAAAACGUCCCACAGCCACAGAGAAGAAAACAUGGAAGAUACUCUCUUUUUGCAACUGCACAAGCUAUCGGCAGCAGCUUCUGAGGAAACCCUUGCGCACGUCUUCGAAAGCUUAUGGAAAUCCAGGAAAACCGGUCUGAAACCUCUAGAGAAGUCUUAUAUCCAAUCCCUUCUCAACCUUCCAUCAGCUGAAGAACUGGAUCCGGUUUUGGCAUGCCUUCGGUCGCUUAUCAGAAAAUGUUUACAUGAGAAUUUCAUUGGGAAUGAUAUCUUGAAACUAUUUCCACAUGACCUGCCUCUUGAGCUGCAGAGCAUUCUCUUACUGUUACUCCAGAAAUAUCAGGAUCAGUGGAAGGAGGAAACAUCCAGAGACCAGCCUCCAUGGCAAAGGCCCAGGGUCUCCUACCAGGUUAAAGUAAGUGCACCACCUUCUUUCACACAUUUUCCAACUUCAGAGAUGACAACAACAAUGUGGCCUCGGCAAGAUGACCCUACUGUUCGCUUUAACAGCAAUGAUGUUACCACUGUCACACCAGUCAUUGCUGAUACCAAUUUAUCAUGCCUGGCUCCCAUGGCUAUCCAACGAGAUGAUGGUCCUUCUGACAAUCUGGGAAUUCUACCCCGACUGAAAUCAAUGACAUGGACCAUGGAAAAUAGGAAGUCAAAGCCUGCUGAUCGAGUGGCUGUUAUUAGUUUGAAGCUCCAAGAUUAUGCUAAGUCCCCUUUAGGCGAAACAGAGGUGAAAUUCCAGCUUACUAAAGAUACACUGGAAGCCAUGUUGAGAUCAAUGGCCUACAUCAGUGAACAACUCUCUAACAUUGCUGGGCCUUCUUCAGGGCCAUUACAGAAGAAGAUGAGGCAAUAGGAGGAUCCAAGCAAAUUUUCUUUUGUUAUGGACCAUGCCAUGUCAUGCUCUUCAAUGAGCGUUACCUGUGCCAGUAUGUUCUGAAAGGCUAUGACUACAUUACAACAGGACGUUACUGGAUUGUUUUGUGGUGCAGUCCAUUGUUUAAUGUUUCUGUUAUUGGUUCCUUCCCCUCAUAAGACUAGUGAAUUAAGGUUCAUUUUUUAUUUGAAGAGUUGCACAAAAGGGGGCUCUGCUUGAAACAUGGUGGGUUUAAUUAAGAUCGAGUUGGGGUUUUUUGGCAAAAUGUGAAUCCAUCUGGGCUGGUUCUUCGGUUCAUUUUUGCCUGUUUUAUCUACGACUUGCAAUCCUGUCAGUUAGAAAAUGAUCCUUAUUUAGGGAACCUUAAGUUUUAUUUAUUAAGAGCCAGAGUAACAGAUUGCUUUUCAAAUAUUUUUGUUUCUAGUAUUGGAGUU